rnacentral:rRNA from 1 species
CAAGUAGGCGGCUUGGUAAGCGAGGGGUGAAAUCUUCCGACUCAAUCGGAAAACUGCCUUUCGAACUGUCAGGCUUGAGGUAGAUAGAGGGAAAUGGAAUUUCCGGUGUAAGGGUGAAAUCUGUAGAUAUCGGAAAGAACACCAACGGCGAAGGCAAUUUCCUGGGUCUAUCCUGACGCUGAAUUGCGAAAGCUAGGGGAGCAAACAGGAUUAGAUACCCUGGUAGUCC